rnacentral:rRNA from 1 species
AUUGAACGCUGGCGGCAGGCCUAACACAUGCAAGUCGAGCGGAUGAAGGGAGCUUGCUCCUGGAUUCAGCGGCGGACGGGUGAGUAAUGCCUAGGAAUCUGCCUGGUAGUGGGGGAUAACGUCCGGAAACGGGCGCUAAUACCGCAUACGUCCUGAGGGAGAAAGUGGGGGAUCUUCGGACCUCACGCUAUCAGAUGAGCCUAGGUCGGAUUAGCUAGUUGGUGGGGUAAAGGCCUACCAAGGCGACGAUCCGUAACUGGUCUGAGAGGAUGAUCAGUCACACUGGAACUGAGACACGGUCCAGACUCCUACGGGAGGCAGCAGUGGGGAAUAUUGGACAAUGGGCGAAAGCCUGAUCCAGCCAUGCCGCGUGUGUGAAGAAGGUCUUCGGAUUGUAAAGCACUUUAAGUUGGGAGGGAGGGCAGUAAGUUAAUACCUUGCUGUUUUGACGUUACCAACAGAAGAAGCACCGGCUAACUUCGUG